rnacentral:rRNA from 1 species
UGGGGGAUUUUGCACAAUGGGCGCAAGCCUGAUGCAGCGACGCCGCGUGAGGGAUGAAGGCCUUCGGGUUGUAAACCUCUUUCGCUGGGUUGAAAGGCCAUGCUUUGGGUGUGGUUGAUUUGAACUGGUAAAGAAGUACCGGCUAACUACGUGCCAGCAGCCGCGGUAAUACGUAGGGUACUAGCGUUGUCCGGAUUUAUUGGGCGUAAAGGGCUUGUAGGUGGUUUGUCGCGUCUGUCGUGAAAUCCUGUGGCUUAACCAUGGGCUUGCGGUGGGUACGGGCAGGCUUGAGUGCGGUAGGGGGGACUGGAAUUCCUGGUGUAGCGGUGGAAUGCGAAGAUAUCAGAAGGAACACCGGUGGCAAAAGCGGGUCUCUGGGCCGUUACUGACACUGAGGAGCGAAAGCGUGGGGAGCGAACAGG